UUAAGAAUAGCUUUUGUGCUCAAUCCACUUUCCAAAGAUCAAAAACCAGUUAAGAUGUAAAGAAUUAGAAGAUUAAUAUUUUAUGACUCUGGAUCUGUGGCAUUUCUCACAUAGAACAAAAAUCGGUGACAGUCAACAUAAGCAUUCAUGUAAAUCAUGUUCAAACACACCUUGGAAUCUGCCCUUCCCAUCCAGUACAACACUUGAAGCAAUGUUUAACUUUACACUGACAAUAUAUUAACGUCUCAAUUGACCCUACUGAGCAUCAACCCAUUUUUUCUUCAGCUCAGAACAGAGAGAGUACCUGUUAAAGGCACUAGGGCAGAAUGUUACUAGCCAUUUCCAGUUGAAACCCAAGGUUACUACAUCAAAGUCAAUUUCCCUUUAACAAGUUUAAAAGUGGGACCUCUGCAAUAAAAGAAACACAAAGACAGCCCUCCCACACUUUGUGUAACAUACUAAAAGCCAUUUUAAUGUAAAAAGUCACUUCCCUGUACUGUACAUUUCACACUCACAAUUUCAAACAAGGGGCAAGUCCUAUUAAGGCAGGGAGCUGGUAUUGGUUAACAUUGCAGUACUCAGACAGUGAUGUACAAGACAUUUAUUUGCAGUAUGAUGACAAUGAUAUAAAUGGAAAAACAAAAAACUGUCAUGGUUAGUAUUAAAACUGUUCUGACAGCAAUUCACAUAACCUCUGAGAUACAGCUUCUUUACUUGUUCGUAGUGUGAGUCUAUACAUCUGUGCCUGGAGGUUGGGUUCAAGGCGCAGCAAGCAUCCAAUCUGAGUAGUCUUUGUAUGUAUGAUACCAGCACCAACAAAGUUAGCAGGAUUGGGAUCC
rnacentral:lncRNA from 1 species